UUUAUCUAUUGCGUUGUUGAUUUAAUGCUUUCGUUCACUAUGUUGUUGUUUAUUUUGUUUGGCUUCGUUGUUUUUUUUUUUUAUAUUACCAAUUUUCUCACUUGCUUUAGAGACCGUUUAGAUUCAAUGUAGAACCGUUUGAUCAUCUGUAGGACCGUUCGGUCUUCAUGUUUUUUUUCUUUUCAGUUAUUUCAAUGUUUUUAAUUAUGUUCGGUUGUAUUUAAUUUCCAGUUUUNAUUUAAUUUAAUUUUCCUUGCAAGAACACAUUCAAACCCCCCCCC
rnacentral:lncRNA from 1 species